GGAAGGGGUGUAUUUAUUAGAUUAAAAACCAAUGCCCUUCGGGGCUCACUGGUGAUUCAUGAUAACUCCUCGAAUCGCAUGGCCUUGUGCCGGCGAUGGUUCAUUCAAAUUUCUUCCCUAUCAACUUUCGACGUUUGGGUAUUGGCCAAACAUGGUUGCAACGGGUAACGGAGGGUUAGGGCUCGACCCCGGAGAAGGAGCCUGAGAAACGGCUACUACAUCCAAGGAAGGCAGCAGGCGCGCAAAUUACCCAAUCCCGACACGGGGAGGUAGUGACAAUAAAUACUGAUACAGGGCUCUUUUGGGUCUUGUAAUUGGAAUGAGUACAAUUUAAAUCCCUUAACGAGGAACAAUUGGAGGGCAAGUCUGGUGCCAGCAGCCGCGGUAAUUCCAGCUCCAAUAGCGUAUAUUAAAGUUGUUGUGGUUAAAAAGCUCGUAGUUGAACCUUGGGCCUGGCUGGCCGGUCCGCCUCACCGCGUGUACUGGUCCGGCUGGGCCUUUCCCUCUGUGGAACCCCAUGCCCUUCACUGGGUGUGGCGGGGAACCAGGACUUUUAC
rnacentral:rRNA from 1 species